rnacentral:rRNA from 1 species
UACGUAGGGCGCAAGCGUUGUCCGGAAUUAUUGGGCGUAAAGAGCUCGUAGGCGGCCUGUUACGUCUGCUGUGAAAUCCCGGGGCUUAACCCCGGGCGUGCAGUGGAUACGGGCAGGCUGGAGGCAGGCAGGGGAGAACGGAAUUCCCGGUGUAGCGGUGAAAUGCGCAGAUAUCGGGAGGAACACCGGUGGCGAAGGCGGUUCUCUGGGCCUGUACUGACGCUGAGGAACGAAAGCUAGGGGAGCAAACAGG